UUGCUUGCUUCAGCAGCACAUAUACUAAAAUUGGAACGAUACAGAGAAGAUUAGUAUGGCCCCUGCACAAAGAUGACACACAAAUUCAUGAAGCAUUCCACAAGGAG
ensembl:snRNA U6 U6 spliceosomal RNA